rnacentral:lncRNA from 1 species
AAUGGUUCUCACUCUUUAUUCUCAACAUACUGAUUGUAUACUAACUAAAAAAAUGUAUUUCAAAUUUUUACCCUAGAAAUGGGAAACUGUUGGGUAAUAAAACUAUUAUUUAUUUAUUUAUUUAUUUAUUUAUCUAGUUGAGUAAAUUGCUUACUACAAAUUUCACAUUUAUAUGGUCUUUUUCCAGUAGGAGUUUUCAAAUGUACUUUGGGAGCAUUGAAUGGUUUGGUAACUUUCAUUGAAAUAUCCUUUGGAAUAACAAAAACCAAAUUAUAAGAAUUUGUUUUUUUACUAAAAGAAAAUACACUCACUGGCACGAAAAAUGGGCACAUAUUGAAUUUUUGAUAAAAUUCAUGACCUACUUUAUUUUUAUUGUAACUUUUAUCAACAAUUAACAUGAUCUGAUAUAGGGUUUUAAGGUAUAUACAGUCGGAAAAAUGAAAGAAUACCCAUGAACGAUCACAUCAAUCACUUAUUUUGUAUUUGCUGUCUUUUUCUAUAACAAACGUUUAUUAUUUAUAGAAAAAGACAGCAAAUACAAAAUAAGUGAUUGAUUUGAUCGUUAAUGGGUAUUCUUUCAGUUUUCCGACUGUACACUGCGUGUCAGAGGGGAGAGAUUAAAUGUCCAGCAAACGACGGCAAUGUUGCCAGAUUCCUUUUAGCGGGAAUUUUAAAAUUUUAUAGCAGUUUGGUUUUAAAUUUGACAGUUCUGUUUUCUCAAGUCAAAAAUCUUAACCUUACUUUUACAGGUGAUUAGGAUUAUUAUUAUUAUUUUAUUUACAUGUACAUUGAAACAAUAAAUAUUGUGCUGUGUCAUAAUUUCAAACUCAUUAUGUUGCAGUCUUUUCCAGUUGAUAAAAUUGCAAUUCAAAAACUUUUAGAUUUGCACUGUAUGGAUGGUACAGGAAGAGAACAAGAACAUGAAACAUCUUAUUAUGAAUGUAUAUGUAUGUGAUCCUCAAAAAAUUAUUUUACAAAACAAGAUAGAGAAAGAGCUUUAAAAUCCCAAGGAUCCUGCAAAA